GCCGGAGUGGCAUAGUGGUUUGAGUGUUGGACUACGACUCUGAAGACCGGGAUUUGAUUCCCAGCCCGGCC